GCUGCCAGCCACAGGUCCCCGUGUGGGCAGUAGCUCCCGAAGUGGCCCAGGCACGGGAAGAAACUAAGAGUCAGUCACUCCAGCGGAAGUUCUAAGGAACUCCUUUCAUUGGCCAGGGGUCUUGGAGAAGCAAUGAAUAUCACUGACUAAAUGGAUGGAGGAGAAGAAAGAUGAUGACAAAGAACCAGUAAUGCAAAUUCAACUAUCCCUGUGUUAUAGAAGCCAGAAAAACUUAAACUGCCAGAUCUCAAGAAGCUUAGCAAAAAGUCAGAAUUUUUUAUUGUUGGAUUCAGAAAGCAUAACUGCAGAAUAAGAGUGGUGGAAGGAAAGUGUCAUUAUUCACUUCAUAAGGAGAAAACCCUGAUAACCUGACUUAUCAUCAAGAUCACUAACUCGAGGUACCCAGUGUUCACCUACUUCACAAAAAAAGACCAAAACAAGAAAAAAACAAUGGCACUUUGAGUAGAUACUCUACAAGAAAACACUGAAUUGAUCAAAGAAGACAGGAAAACCCUCUGAAGCAUGGAACCUUGAAAUCUCAGCAUAGAGAGGUAAGAAAAACACCUGGCCAGGAUUGGCUUCAAAUGCACAGGUAGCAAAAGCAAAACUAGACAAAUUAGAUUAAAUGAAA
rnacentral:lncRNA from 1 species